CCCUCCACCUCCUCGAGCCAAGGUUUCCAGGCUGACGGCUCCGGCCAGAGCGAGAAGCCGCUCAGAGAACUCGGGAGAGGGGAAGCUGCGCAUGUGCAGGGGAGAGCCCGCCCGCUUUCCGCCUGCAUGCGGAGCGAUUGACCAUUGGGAAGAGUUGGAGGACCGGAAAGACACUGGCCCUCCAGGCAAUCAGAGCGCGGAAUUUGUGUGAAUGAAGAUUGAGCUUCACACAGACUAAAACUUCCUCCUGUGUCCAACAUCUGAUAUUAGAAGAGGAGGAUUUGCAAACAGAAAUCUCAAACCGAACUUCACAUCAAGAUCUGACAGAGUCACUCAAUUCAUCAAGUCCUGAAUAUCAUCAGCCUUUGUAUCUGGGAGAAAUGUUUGUCUGUUCUGUCUACUUCAUAAGAUUUCAAACAUCAAUGUGGCUGGAAAAACACCGAGACACACACACACACCUGAGUGAGAGUGUUUCCAGUGCACUGACUGUGGAAAGAGCUUUAACCAGUUACACAGACUGAAAAAACAUCACCACAUUCACAACGGGGGGGAAACUGUACACGUGUUCUCUGUGUGGGCGAAGCUUCAACUGAUCAUCGGCCCUGGAGAGACACAAAGACACCUGCAACAUGGAGAAACCGUGGAAAUGUGGCGACUGUGGGAAGGGAUUCAAAUCCCCAUCUGCACUGGACACCCAUCGACGCAUUCACACUGGGGAGAGGCCCUUCAUCUGCUCCGUGUGUGGGAAGGGAUUCACUAAGUCAUCGAACCUGCUGACACACAAGCGAGUUCACACUGGGGAGAGGCCUUUCAUCUGCUCCGUGUGUGGGAAGAGAUUCACUGAGUCAUCCAGCCUGCGGAGACAUCAGAAACUUUUCAACUGAUUACAGACUUUGGGUUUUGCUUUUAUCACUGCUGUUAAUCUCAUCCAGGACUGAACCAUGUUUAUUCUGAUUGUUGGUGAAGUGGGAGAGUAGGAGGGUUUCUUUCUGCUGGUCUGACCAGUCUUACGACUUUGCUUCCAGUGGCAAAUGCUCAUUGAGACUUUUUGCGAAUAUCUAGUUUCAUAUUUCAUGUGAAUUACAGAAUGAAAGGGUGUUUGGAAUGGAAAAGGUAUUUAGUGUGAAACUGUUUGGAACUCCCCAGGGCAUGCUAGGUUGCCUUGGAGAUGGGCUGUGCUGGUUGGAAGGUUCUUUUCUUUAAUUUUUCUGGGUGUUUCUCGCAGAAGGAAACUACAAAGGUACCAGUGUAAGCUGCCUGUGGUAGAUUGGGAAACUACAUUAAAAGUUAUGAUGCUAGACAGACAAUUUAAGGAAUGCAGAGGCAGUCACUUAGUGGUAUUGUCACUGAACUAGUAAUCCAGAGACAUAGGGUAAUCGUCUGGGGUCGUGGGUUUGUAUCUCACCAUGGCAGAUGAUGCAAUUUGAAUUCAAUCAGUAAAAAUCUGGAAUUAAUUGAAGAAAUGUUCCUUGCUUCCCCAAAACAAAUUGAACCAAUCAGCUUGGAGCCUCUUCUAACUGUAAACCAUAACUUGUAUCUAAACAGGGUGUCCUGGAACACCUGGUGCUCUGACCUCUUCCUGACCUUAACACUAGUUUUUUUUCCAUAAAGCUACAUUUCAGUAUCUGGAACUUAAAGAGCCAGGCACUUGAAGACUUUUCAUCAUUAAGCUUACAAUUUGAUAAUGUGGCCUUAUUAAUUACACAGAUGUAUCACGGAGGUGAAGUCUAACAGCCAACACUGAUAAAGUAUUGAUAAUGUUCAUUCUGGCACUUGGUGUGGGAGGGUCGGAGGGUUUCUUUCUGCUGGACUGACCAGUCUCAUGACUUUGCUUCCAGUGGCUGAUGCUCUUUGACCCUGGGAGUGCACAUUUCCACUUUAUUUUAUCCUGGAUAGUAAAUAGUGUUUUUCUUACCACUACAGGUAGAUCUAAAAUAAAUACAUUUGUCUCUGUUCCAUUGAGUUUACAGCACAGGGCCAGGCCAGUGGGCUCAAUUGGUUUCUGUUAGCAUUUAUGCUCCACAUGAUCCUCCACCCACCCCUCUUCAUCUCCCCCCAUCAGCAUAUCCUUCUAUUCCUUUCUCCCUCAUGUAUGUAUCUAGCUUCCCCUUAACUGUAUUCAUGCUAUUCACCUCAACCACUCGCUGUGGCAGUAAGUUCCACAUUCUCACCACCCAUUUGGUAAAGACAUUUCUCAUGAAAUCCUGAUUGGAUUUUGAACCCCUUCAUAUUUUUAAAGACUUCCAUCAGGUCAUCCUUCAGUCUUCCCUUUUCUAGAGAAAAGCAGCCCAGCCUUUCCUGAGGGUUAAAUUUUCCCAGUUCUGGUAUUAUUCCUGUUGCCCAUUCUGCUGUGCCUCUAUUUCCUUUUUCUAAAUGGAGAUCACAAAUGUUGACAGUAUUCCCAGUGUAGUCUAACCAUGGUUCGAAACAAGUUGAACAUAACCUCCCUGCUUUUCACUUCUAUCCCUCUAGAAUGGAGCCCUAUGUCUGGGCCCCACACUUUAGGAAAGAUGUGACGUUCUUAGAGAGGGAGCAAAGGAGAUUUACGAGAAUGGCACCAGAGAUAAGGGACUUCAGUUAGUUGGAGAGGUUGGAGCCACUGAAAUUUCUGUCUUUGGAACAUGCAGUCAUUAGGACACACAAGGAGGCCAUUCUGCCCAUCAAGUCCAUAUUUCCCUGAAGUGCCCAUCCAAUUGCUUUUGCUCAUCAUCUCUGCUCCCACCCUCCUCAUCGUUAGCGACUUCCAGGUCAUUACCACUCGCUGUGUAAAAAUAUUCUUCCUCACAUUCCCCCCUGCAUCUCCUGACCAAAACUUUAAAUCUGUGUCCCUCUCAUCUCUGUACCAUCAGCUGAUGGGAACAGCUUUUCUUUCUCCACCUUAUCGAAAUCAGUCAUAGUCUUGUGCACCUCUAUCAAAUCUCCCCUCAACCUCCUUUGCUCCAAGGAGAACUACCCCAGCCUGACGUCUACAAUAAAGAGCAAACAAAAGAUGUUAAUGCCUGAAAUCAAUUGGGAAGGCUUGAUUUCUGUUUUAAAGAUAUGAUGAAUAUAUUUUAUUGGACAGGAAAGGAAUUGGAGUAACUCACCCGGGUGAUCAGUGGAAUGUAUCAAUCUGGUAUCCACUUACAUUCUAGUGAAAGUCAGGGAGGUGUAGAUGAGAUGAAUAAGUUGAUAGAUUUCUCUGGGAGAUAUUUACAUCCUUACCUAUGUAUUUUGUUAUAAAGAAAACCACAUUUGACACCUUGGCCACCACCUGAAAUAUCAGGACCAUAACAGGGGGAGAUAAGCAAAGACAGACACUCACUUUGAUCUUUUGAUAAGCGCACCUGAAAGUUCAGAAUAUGUGGCCUGACGUUGGGAUACCUGUGUGAGUGUGCAGAUGUGAUUUGUUACAUGUGAAGACAAUAGCACAUGUAAAUUCAUGGUGAAGUGGACUAAAAACUGGGUCCCAAACGUGUACAGCUACUGAACAAACAGUCUGACAUGAAAUGGUUAAUGUGACCAGGAGAAUGAGACAAAAUAUUUUGACAUUAUCAAGGUAUUGACACAUACUCCAGAGAGAAACUGACUUUAAAACAAUCAGUACAGAAUUAAACACAUUGGUCAUGGUCACAAAAUGAGUAAAAUUGAAGUAACAGAGAUAAACAUUUGGAUUGGAAUAAUUAAGGGCUUGGGAGAAAUAAUACUGAGUGAGAACUGUCCACAAGUUGGACAGGGGUAAGGAGAGAGCUGGAGAAUCUUUUACAUCCAUGCUUGAUCUGUUGCUUGAAGCAUAUGUCCUUAUGUACUAGUAAUCUAGAACUCACGGUGCUCCUUCAGGAGAAGAAAAGAUCGAGUAGAUGUUACCCCAGGCAGGGUAGGAACACAACUUACUAGGAAAGCAAGAGAGUGAAAUUGAGUGAGGGGUCAGAGAGAGUUCUCCUCUCCCUCAAGGUGUGGACUGUAAGAAUCCUGGGGGACCUCCUACUUCGGGUUUUCUUUCUAAUUAGUGAACACUGAAUUAAAAACUGUGCCUGGAUGUGCAUUUAUUUUUAAUUUGAUUGUUACACUUCUCCUGUUUUUAUUCCUGUUGUGAUUAUUCUCUGGUUGAGGAUGGUUGACAGGUGACAGGAAGGGAAAUUGUAGUUUGGGUCUUCAUUGAUCAAAUGUUUCUUUGUCCCGAAAGGUGUAAAAGGGGCCAAACUUCAGCAGAAAACUGGCAGAGCUUGAACAGACAACUUGCUUUGUGGGAACAGGGAGAUGAACAGCUCCCAGAGGACAGAGAAAACAAGAGUGCCUUGAAUCCUAGACGACACCUGGGUGUCAAGGCCACCAUGUUUUCACUGCUUGGCAUGGGAAUGCUGACUCCCUGUACUGGGGAUGGAGCGUGGGAAGCCAAUUGUUUGAGAGUUUGACGUGGCUUGGGCAGGUACAGAUGGUUCAAUGACAGGUUUUGUAAUUGGUCCGUUCAAAUGUUAGCUCGGCAAUAAUUGGGUUAAAUCAGUCUCCAUAGACUUUGUGAUGUAAAAAAGUAUCAGAAGGGAUUCCCCGAGCACAGAGAUUUGUAGAGGUUUUACAUAUUGCAUUGACUGGUGCCAUGGCAUCUGGGGCAGAGCAGGGAGCAUUUACGUGGAGAUGGUGCUUCUACCCAGAGUGUAAUGGUAAUGUUGCUGCACUUUGAUACUACUGCUCAGACAUGAGCAUGUGUCAGGUUUUAUUUAUACUGAAUAAAAUCUAACCACCGCCACCAA